GGUAGAGGACAGGUGAAGACAGGUAGAGGACAGGUGAAGACAGGUAGAGGACAGGUGAAGACAGGUAGAGGACAGGCAGAGGACAGGUGAAGACAGGUAGAGGACAGGUGAAGACAGGUAGAGGACAGGUAGAGGACAGGUGAAGACAGGUAGAGGAAAGGUGAAGACAGGUAGAGGACAGGCGAAGACAGGUAGAGGACAGGCAGAGGACAGGUAGAGGACAGGUGAAGACAUGUAGAGGACAGGUGAAGACAGGUAGAGGACAGGCAGAGGACAGGUAGAGGACAGGUGAAGACAGGUAGAGGAAAGGUGAAGACAGGUAGAGGACAGGUGAAGACAGGUAGAGGAAAGGUGAAGACAGGUAGAGGAAAGGUGAAGACAGGUAGAGGACAGGCGAAGACAGGUAGAGGACAGGCAGAGGACAGGUGAAGACAGGUGCAGACAUGUAGAGGACAGGUGAAGACAGGUAGAGGACAGGUGAAGACAGGUGA